GAUGAACGCUGGCGGCGUGCCUAAUACAUGCAAGUCGAGCGAACAGACGAGGAGCUUGCUCCUCUGACGUUAGCGGCGGACGGGUGAGUAACACGUGGAUAACCUACCUAUAAGACUGGGAUAACUUCGGGAAACCGGAGCUAAUACCGGAUAAUAUAUUGAACCGCAUGGUUCAAUAGUGAAAGACGGUUUUGCUGUCACUUAUAGAUGGAUCCGCGCCGCAUUAGCUAGUUGGUAAGGUAACGGCUUACCAAGGCAACGAUGCGUAGCCGACCUGAGAGGGUGAUCGGCCACACUGGAACUGAGACACGGUCCAGACUCCUACGGGAGGCAGCAGUAGGGAAUCUUGCGCAAUGGGCGAAAGCCUGACGGAGCAACGCCGCGUGAGUGAUGAAGGUCUUCGGAUCGUAAAGCUCUGUUAUUGGGGAAGAACAGAUGUGUAAGUAACUAUGCACGUCUUGACGGUACCUAAUCAGAAAGCCACGGCUAACUACGUG
rnacentral:rRNA from 1 species